UACGGAGGAUGCGAGCGUUAUCCGGAUUUAUUGGGUUUAAAGGGUGCGUAGGCGGCGCUUCAGGUCAGCGGUGAAAUACCGGGGCUCAACCCCGGGGCUGCCGUUGAAACUGACACCCUUGAGUGAGUGAGAAGUAAGCGGAAUGCGUGGUGUAGCGGUGAAAUGCAUAGAUAUCACGCAGAACGCCGAUUGCGAAGGCAGCUUACCGGCGCUCAACUGACGCUGAGGCACGAAAGUGCGGGUAUCGAACAGG
rnacentral:rRNA from 1 species